UCUUUUCCCUUUUUAUUUUAAAAAAUAUUGUUAAUUUGAGAGAGAGGGAGGGAGAGAGAAUGAAGUCUGAGUCUCUGCUCCCUUGCAGAGGAAGAGGGGCCAGUUAGCCAGACGUACACU